rnacentral:lncRNA from 1 species
UUUAUAUCCCUCAAAGUUUCGAUACUCAAGUUGACUAGAAAACAAAACAAAAGAUACUAUUUUAGUUCAUUUUCUGUAAUUAUAACCACAUGCCACAGCCUAAGUAAUAUUUUAAAGAAAAUAGAUUUGUUGGGCUCAUGACUGUGGAGACUGGGAGUUUAAAGAACACACUAACAGUAUCUGAUCAGGGCCCUCUUGCUACAUCAUAACAUGAUGAGGGCAUCACCUAGUGAGGCAGAGCAAAUGUGAUAAUGAGGUUUCUCUACUUGUCCUUAUGAAGCCAUUUGUGCCAUCAUAGGGAUUCUAUUCAUGAUCAUAUCUAAACUCAAGUUACUGGGCAGGUAUUGAAACCCCUGGGCAAGGGCUGGGGAGCUAGCUCAGCAGUUAAGAGCACUGAUUGUUCUUCUAGAGGUCCUGAGUUAAUUUCCAGCUCCCACUUGGUGGCUCACAACCAUCUGUAAUGUAAUCUGAUGCCUUCUUCUGGUGUGUCUGAAGACAAUGGCAGUGUACAAACAUACAUAAAAUAAAUAAAAUCUUUAAAAAGAAGAAAGCACUGAGCAAAAGCUCUGAUUCUUAGCACACAGUAAUAGAUAUUUUAUUGCUUUGAAUAGAAAAAAAUCUUGCUUCAUCGGACCACAAAUAGGCUGACCUAUGACUAGCAGGAGAAGUGAAUCCCACCUUUCUCCUUGUGUCCUCCCUUGAAAAGUACUACUGCACUGUGGCCUCCCAACAGAUGUUUUCAGAAAGAAGUUAAAAAGCAGAGAGCAAUGAAAGGUAUGCAGCAUCACAGCUGGAUAGACUCACAGACUUCACUCUGGAAACUUCAGGGUUUCCGAACAAUCAGGAAAU